UACGAAGGGGGCUAGCGUUGUUCGGAAUAACUGGGCGUAAAGCGCACGUAGGCGGACUUGUAAGUUGGGGGUGAAAGCCCAGUGCUCAACCCUGGAACUGCCUCCGAUACUGCAAGUCUCGAGUCCGGGAGAGGUGAGUGGAAUUCCUAGUGUAGAGGUGAAAUUCGUAGAUAUUAGGAAGAACACCAGUGGCGAAGGCGGCUCACUGGCCCGGUACUGACGCUGAGGUGCGAAAGCGUGGGGAGCAAACAGG
rnacentral:rRNA from 1 species